AGCAGCUGCUGGGCAAGCUGAGCUGGAAACUCCCCUGACCUCCUUGGCUACUGGACCCGCUGUGUGUGGUGUCAGCCUGAGACAAAAGGACGGAGGCACUGGACAGUGAGAAGGCCAGAGGCUCUGAUGUGACAGUGCGGUGGCAGGAAGCUCAUCCAGCCUCAUUUCCCAGCUCCCUCUCCAGCCCAGCCCCUGAGAACCCACCGUGGAGAGCUCAGAGCAUCAGUUCACACCAUGUGAAAAUGAGAGCGACACCCCUGGGAGCUGGGCCUCACACGUGCACAAAACGAAAGCAGCCAGCGUCCCCGAGGCCCGGGGCUCCUCACCCCGCCCCUCUCACAGCUGGCAGACACCCAGACUUCAGGGCUGCCAGAAAAUCCCAGCCCCACAGGGACCCAGCUGAUGGAAGCAGAGAACAACAACAACAACAACAAAACUGGAUAGAAAUAACCAGCCUUCCUUGCCUGUGGCGGGCAUCUGGCAGCUUGGAACAUGCCAUGUACGCAUGACACUGCUCUGUAAGUGAGACCCUGUGGCGGGCGGGAGAGACACACGACUUCCCGUGGCUACUGGACUGCUCAGUGGCAGAGCCAAGAGCAAAACCCGUGGCCUCUGGCCCCGUCUGGGCUCCUUCGUGAACAGCGCGUGUGGAGACAUGGUCCUGACCCGUCCUCUCCCGGGGCCGAGGGGAAGCCAAACCCGUGACAUGGCACAGCUGACAAUUGCUAGGUUUAAUGUGGCAGCGUACUACGGAUUGGGGCUAUUGCCCGGGACGCUUUCAGACCGGAGCCGUGAGUGGCGCUGGACCCGACAGACCUCUCCGGGAAGACUGCGCGGACCUGGAGGCUGACGCCCCGGCCCCACCCAGGACCCCAUCUGGCAGCGAUCCAACACCUGGCCUUUCCGGUCUUAUCUGGCCAGCGGCUGUUAGGUUGGCCCCAACGUAUCCUUUAAAAUGUGAUUUUUUUUUUUUGCGAAUAUUUAAAAAUUAGGCACUCUAUAAGGGAAAUGGUAUUUCUCGCAGCUCAGACAUGUGAGCACAAGCACGCUUGCUGCCCGGGGGCUGAGCUCGGCCGCACCGCCCGUGAGGGGUGCACGCCCCCUGUCCGCGGUCACUGCCCCUGACCGCCCCGUGAUGCUGCCGGUCCGGGCCCCACCCCACAGGCACGGGGGCUGUGGGCUCUUGAUACCGAACAAAAGCUCUUCACAUUUUUAAGGUCAUGGCUAGAAUUCAGGGGUCCAAGAACUUAGAUGGGUGAGAAGUACAUAUUUUCACUAGCCUUUCCCUAAAACUGAGCAUUUCCUUCCAUUGUGACUGUAGGCAGUGGCCACAGCAGUAAUGGGACCUGUGACUUUGUCACCAGAAGAAAAACAUCACAGAUACCUUCCUAUCGCAGUGUUCACAGGCAUCUCCAAAUGUCAUCUACGCUCAUCACUACUCCACAAUCACGGCCUUGUGCCUGAUCUUGUCCUUGAAUACUUCUGAUAGAGAUGCAUAUACAUUGUGAUUUUAAAACUUUCGUUUUACAAAUAAAUUCCAGUGGCUGUUUUUAAUAUAGUCACUUCCGUUGGUAAUCUCAUGUAUCGUGUUUUAUGCAUUUAUUCUGAAAAAAAGUCCAUAGGCUUCACCCACCUGCCGAGGGGGUCCAAAGCACAAAACUGGACUCACCUCUUCAAAAUAUGUCAGACCCCGUGGGGUCAGGAAGGUGGUUUUUGGAGGAGUGGGGCAGGAGAGGCACAGCACUCCCCCAUCCAGCCCCACCCCCGUGGCUUCGCACUGGGACUGGCA